rnacentral:tRNA from 6 species
GGAGGGAUGGUCGAGUUGGUUUAAGGCACCGGUCUUGAAAACCGACGUACGUGAAAGCGUACCGUGGGUUCGAAUCCCACUUCCUCCACCA